rnacentral:snRNA from 1 species
UUACUCUUGUUUCUCUGUAUCACGCAUAAAUCUUUCGCCUUUUACUAAAGAUUUCCGUGCAGAGGAACACUGAUUGAGUUUAAACUCAAUUUUUCUCAGCUCUUGAGGAAAUCAAGGGU